ensembl:lncRNA
GGGAUUGCAGGGAGCAGUUUAGCAGUGUGGCUGGCUUAAAUGGGGGUUAGCUUGGCCUACAUUAACCUGAGCUAGCUGGUAAACCCAUAUAUAAGAAACGUCUACAUGAAUGCCAGGACCUGAAAGUAAACAUUCAGGACCUAUUUAUUUUUAUUAAUUUGUUUAGGUAGUUUUGUGGUUGAUUGGUUUGUACUAACAUUACAUUUUAAGAAUAUUUUAAAAUAAAAGAAGAAGAAAAAGUCCUCCUCAUGACGUCAGUACACAUGGCCAAUCAGCGCCAUGGGAAUCUCUCUCGGUCUCUCACUCACUUUGCGGCCGUGCGUGCGUGCUUGCGUGCGUGUGUCAACUAGUUGUUAGCAGAGCUAGCUACCCAGUGAGCUAGCUCGUUGAAACAUUUUUUGUUUUUGUUUAGUUUUUGUUUUUUUACACAGGGUCCGUUUAUACCAAGAAGCAUUUGUUGUUCGUCAUGAGAGGGGCCCACGGCUCCCCAUACAUGAUGUUUGUCACCCAGUCAUGCCAAAGAGGAGCACGGCCUCUCGGGAAAAACGAUAAGUUAGCUAACGCCAGCAAAAAGUGAAGCUACAGUUUUUUAACAGCCGAUUUCCUUCCUAGCUAGCAUCCUGAGACGGAAAGCGCUGAGAUUUUGCAUGAACUGGAUGCGGAAGGAGGAUAUAAGCCAACCUGGACAGCUAUUGCUAACUAUGAGCUAUGCUGGGAUCCAAAAUCGGAGAACAUCUCACUGUGAGCACAAUUAUUAAAUCUAUCAAGCCAGCGUGAGAUAAUAAUAGCUAAUGACUUUCACCUACCUAUUAGCGGUUAGCGUUAAGCUGUCUUGUUUUAGGGUGACGUUACAGUUACCCAGUCAACGAUAGGGACAUCAAGAUAGAAAUGCUUGCUUAUGCGGCCUAGCAUUAGCCGGUAACUAGCAUUAGGUAUCCUAAUGUUGUCUGUCAGGCAGUUUGAGGAGAUAAUCUUCGGGUUUAGGUCAUGUUAUCAUAUUCACUGAGGUCACUGAAACCACUGGC